CGGGAGGGUGCAAGCGUUGUCCGGUAUUUAUUGGGGUUUAAAGGGUGCGUAGGCGGUUUAUUAAGUCAGUGGUGAAAGACGGUCGCUCAACGAUUGCAGUGCCAUUGAUACUGGUAGACUUGAGUAUGAUUGAGGUAGCUGGAAUGGAUAGUGUAGCGGUGAAAUGCAUAGAUAUUAUCCAGAACACCAAUUGCGUAGGCAAGUUACUAAGUCAUAACUGACGCUGAGGCACGAAAGUGUGGGUAUCAAACAGGAUUAGAUACCCUGGUAGUCCACACUGUAAACGAUGAUAACUAACUGUUGGCCUUUGGGUCAGUGGUACAGAGAAAUCGUUAAGUUAUCCACCUGGGGAGUACGCCGGCAACGGUG
rnacentral:rRNA from 1 species